AACGCGAAGAACCUUACCAGGUCUUGACAUCCCUCUGAAUCGUCUAGAGAUAGGCGCGGCCUUCGGGACAGAGGAGACAGGUGGUGCAUGGUUGUCGUCAGCUCGUGUCGUGAGAUGUUGGGUUAAGUCCCGCAACGAGCGCAACCCUUGAACUUAGUUGCCAGCAGGUUAAGCUGGGCACUCUAGGUUGACUGCCGGUGACAAACCGGAGGAAGGCGGGGAUGACGUCAAAUCAUCAUGCCCCUUAUGACCUGGGCUACACACGUACUACAAUGGCCGGUACAACGGGCUGCGAAACCGCGAGGUGGAGCGAAUCCCAACAAAGCCGGUCUCAGUUCGGAUUGUAGGCUGCAACUCGCCUGCAUGAAGUCGGAAUUGCUAGUAAUCGCGGAUCAGCAUGCCGCGGUGAAUACGUUCCCGGGCCUUGUACACACCGUAGUAC
rnacentral:rRNA from 1 species